AUUUUAGACCCCAGGUUUAAGACCAAAGUUGAUAAGGCUGAAAUCUGGGACCGGAUUAGGGGGGGCUGCCAUCACAGUAAACACAGAUGUAGAUGAGCCAGGCCAAAGACAGACUCAAGAGGAGUGUGUAGAUGGAGAGAAGAGGAGGGUGAACAGGAGGAAGAUGACUAUGAGAUGCUACAACCAGCAGCAAAGCAGAAAAGGACAGCCUUGGAGGAACAGUUCGAAGAGGACCAUGAGCUCCUGACAUGCGAAGAAGACAACCCCAGUCUUUCCUUGGCCCAGAGAGUGGAUCAGGAGAUCCAGUUAUAUAAAAGUCUGCCCUCCAUUCCUAGCAAAGAUGACGCCAUCCUUUGGUGGUGGAACUAAAGAGAGAGACUGCCGUUGCGGUCAGCACUAACUGAAGGCUUCUUGUGCGUGCAAGCAUCCUCCACUCCAUCUGAAAGGGUGUUCUCCACAGCUGGAGAUACAAUAAGCCCAGAAAGAGCACGUAUCCUUCCCACAAAAGCAGACACGCUUGUUGUUUUUGCAUAAGAAUUGCUAAUCGAGUGUUCAGUACGGUCAGCAAAAUUGCAUUUACUGUAGCAGUACACAAAUAGUUCUAUUGAACCAAAGAGUACGUGAUUCGUCACUGGCUGAUAGGCACCUUAUUUUUCUUUGUUUAACCCUUGAGAGUCGAAGGACGCGCCGGCGCGUCCUCAGCGCACGUCGUCUUUGAAGCGCCCUCACGUUUUAAUUACGUCACCCACAUGCCUUUGGUUGGUCUCGUUUUAAAGUGCGGAAGUUGCGGUUUACUCUCGUUAUUAUUUGAAGUCAAUCGACCAACUAGAACGUGAGAUAUUGUCAUUUAAGUUUUAUAGUUUUAUUGUCCUCUCAAAAAAACAUUAAAACGCUGCAUGGAUCAUUUGUUUAUGUCUAUAUUUCCAUCAUUUCUUGUCCUUUUUCAAAACGGAAGCUCCAUGAAAAAAACACAAAUCAAACGAACCCUUUCGAAGUCACAGUGGAAGCACAAAAUGCGUUUUUUUUUUUUUUUUUUUUAAAUAUAACUGCCGUGCGAGGUUCUACCGAACGAGAGGAAGGAGCGAGGUGACGAGCGACGGCCGUUUGGGUCCAGCGAGCGACUUUGUGUGACUUUGAGAAUGAACGGAAAACUAAAUUUAGCGCAAGCAGUUGUGCUUUUUGAUCAACUUGAGGAAGAGGAUGGUCCAAAUUCGUCAUCAUCGUCUUCUUCGGAAGAGU